GCUCGCGGCGUUUAGGCCUUCUACUCCGUGUAAGAGGACAUUCUAUGCCGCAACGAGCAGGACGAGUGUCAAAAAGGUCAAGGCAAGGAUCAAUCGUAAUCCGGUCGACAGACUCAGACAUCAACGCUAACGCUAAUGUCAAAUCCUGUCAUCGACUCAAGGUCAUGUACAGGUUAGAUUAAGUAAACUUACGCGAAACUACUCACCUCUCACCAGAGCAUA